rnacentral:rRNA from 1 species
GACGAACGCUGGCGGCGUGCUUAACACAUGCAAGUCGAACGGAAAGGCCCUGCUUUUGUGGGGUGCUCGAGUGGCGAACGGGUGAGUAACACGUGAGUAACCUGCCCUUGACUUUGGGAUAACUUCAGGAAACUGGGGCUAAUACCGGAUAGGAGCUCCUGCUGCAUGGUGGGGGUUGGUAAGUUUCGGCGGUUGGGGAUGGACUCGCGGCUUAUCAGCUUGUUGGUGGGGUAGUGGCUUACCCAGGCUUUGACGGGUAGCCGGCCUGAGAGGGUGACCGGCCACAUUGGGACUGAGAUACGGCCCAGACUCCUACGGGAGGCAGCAGUGGGGAAUAUUGCACAAUGGGCGGAAGCCUGAUGCAGCAACGCCGCGUGCGGGAUGACGGCCUUCGGGUUGUAAACCGCUUUCGCCUGUGACGAAGCGUGAGUGACGGUAAUGGGUAAAGAAGCACCGGCUAACUACGUG